rnacentral:misc_RNA from 1 species
UNGUCCAUCACAUGANGAANGNGNGAGAGAAAUUCCUUCGGGAAGGACUCUAGNGGUUUUUCCCCUGAGUAACAAGAGAAGAAAAUUGUUUCACAGAGGGGAAUAGCCUUNNGAAAGGAAGAUUAAUACUGCAUAAGAUUGUAGUGCCGCAUGGCAUAGCAAUUAAAGGAGUAAUCCGCUAUGAGAUGGACCCGCGUCGCAUUAGCUAGUUGGUGAGGUAACGGCUCACCAAGGCGACGAUGCGUAGCCGACCUGAGAGGGUGAUCGGCCACACUGGGACUGAGACACGGCCC